CAGUCGCCGCGGGAAUACGAAGGGGGCUAGCGUUGUUCGGAAUCACUGGGCGUAAAGCGCACGUAGGCGGACACUUAAGUCAGAGGUGAAAUCCCAAGGCUCAACCUUGGAACUGCCUUUGAUACUGGGUGUCUCGAGUCCGGAAGAGGUUGGUGGAACAGCUAGUGUAGAGGUGAAAUUCGUAGAUAUUAGCUAGAACACCAGUGGCGAAGGCGGCCAACUGGUCCGGUACUGACGCUGAGGUGCGAAAGCGUGGGGAGCAAACAGGAUUAGAUACCCCUGUAGUCCCUGUCUCUUAUAC
rnacentral:rRNA from 1 species